AUACGGAGGAUCCGAGCGUUAUCCGGAUUUAUUGGGUUUAAAGGGUGCGCAGGCGGGAGAUUAAGUCGGCGGUGAAAUUUUGCAGCUCAACUGUAAAAGUGCCUUCGAAACUGGGUUCCUUGGGUGUAGAUGAAGUAGGCGGAAUUUGUGGUGUUGCGGUGAAAUGCAUAGAUAUCACGAGGAACUCCGAUUGCGCAGGCAGCUUACUAAACUACUACUGACGCUCAGGCACGAAGGCGUGGGGAUCAAACAGGAUUAGAUACCCUGGUAGUCCACGCAGUAAACGAUGAUUACUAGCUGUUUGCGAUACAAUGUAAGCGGCUGAGCGAAAGCGUUAAGUAAUCCACCUGGGGAGUACGUUCGCAAGAAUGAAACUCAAAGGAAUUGACGGGG
rnacentral:rRNA from 1 species